rnacentral:rRNA from 1 species
UACAGAGGUCUCAAGCGUUGUUCGGAUUCAUUGGGCGUAAAGGGUGCGUAGGCGGCGCGGUAAGUCGGGUGUGAAAUCUCGGAGCUUAACUCCGAAACAGCAUUCGAUACUGCCGUGCUUGAGGACUGGAGAGGAGACUGGAGUUUACGGUGUAGCGGUGAAAUGCGUAGAUAUCGUAAGGAAGACCAGUGGCGAAGGCGGGUCUCUGGACAGUUCCUGACGCUGAGGCACGAAGGUCAGGGGAGCAAACGGG